rnacentral:rRNA from 1 species
UACGUAGGGGGCUAGCGUUGUCCGGAUUUAUUGGGCGUAAAGAGCUCGUAGGCGGCUUGUUGCGUCAGCUGUGAAAACCCGCAGCUCAACUGUGGGCUUGCAGCUGAUACGGGCAGACUGGAGUACUGCAGGGGAGACUGGAAUUCCUGGUGUAGCGGUGGAAUGCGCAGAUAUCAGGAGGAACACCGGUGGCGAAGGCGGGUCUCUGGGCCGUAACUGACGCUGAGGAGCGAAAGCGUGGGGAGCGAACAGG